GUUUAACAAAAAGAGUGGGGAAACGAUACCUCUGGCCAUUCCGUUGGGUCGUUUGUCCAGUCACAUAUAAUGUACGGACAAUCCGACCCAAUACGGCUCAGUUUUUUGUAUGUAUCUUGCUCUGUCAAGCGGUAAAAGUGCUUUUGAGUGGUCCAUACU